CUUCCGUCAGUUUCUCCGGUAUCAGUAUAGCAAGAGGAUUUAAAGGGGCCUUACAGAUUUAUAGAGGCCUAAUAAUUCUACAACAGUCCCCCCUAAAAUGUUAUUUGCUAAAAGACAAACUUUAUUUGUUAGUAUCAGAAGAUGUGUUAGCCCAAAGACACAGAAACCCCAUGACCGCUGACUUAGUGUUAAUGCAAAGUGCAAG
rnacentral:lncRNA from 1 species